GGAUCAAUGUUUCGGUCAUGCCGUUGGUAUGUACUGAUAUUAUUGAUUUCUCACCUUCUAAAGAACCGUAAUGCCAUUAAUUUGGUGUCACGGGAAUUGAGGACUGUUACCUUGAAAAAAUUAGAGUGUUUAAAGCAGGCUCACGCUUGAAUACAUUAGCAUGGAAUAAUGAAAUAGGACAUCCGAUUCUAUUUUGUUGGUUUCUAGGAUCGAUGUAAUGAUUAAUAGGGAUAGU
rnacentral:rRNA from 1 species